rnacentral:rRNA from 1 species
GGUUAAGCGACUAAGCGUACACGGUGGAUGCCCUGGCAGUCAGAGGCGAUGAAGGACGUGCUAAUCUGCGAUAAGCGCCGGUAAGGUGAUAUGAACCGUUAUAACCGGCGAUUUCCGAAUGGGGAAACCCAGUGUGAUUCGUCACACUAUCAUUAACUGAAUCCAUAGGUUAAUGAGGCGAACCGGGGGAACUGAAACAUCUAAGUACCCCGAGGAAAAGAAAUCAACCGAGAUUCCCCCAGUAGCGGCGAGCGAACGGGGAGGAGCCCAGAGCCUGAAUCAGCAUGUGUGUUAGUGGAAGCGUCUGGAAAGGCGCGCGAUACAGGGUGACAGCCCCGUACACAAAAGCGCAUUGCUGUGAGCUCGAUGAGUAGGGCGGGACACGUGGUAUCCUGUCUGAAUAUGGGGGGACCAUCCUCCAAGGCUAAAUACUCCUGACUGACCGAUAGUGAACCAGUACCGUGAGGGAAAGGCGAAAAGAACCCCGGCGAGGGGAGUGAAAAAGAACCUGAAACCGUGUACGUACAAGCAGUGGGAGC